UACGAAGGGUGCAAGCGUUACUCGGAAUUACUGGGCGUAAAGGGUGCGUAGGUGGUUGUUUAAGUCUGCUGUGAAAGCCCCGGGCUCAACCUGGGAAUGGCAGCGGAUACUGGACAGCUAGAGUGCGGUAGAGGGUAGUGGAAUUCCCGGUGUAGCAGUGAAAUGCGUAGAGAUCGGGAGGAACACCAGUGGCGAAGGCGGCUACCUGGACCAGCACUGACACUGAAGCACGAAAGCGUGGGGAGCAAACAGG
rnacentral:rRNA from 1 species